rnacentral:rRNA from 1 species
CGGAACGGGUGAGUAAUGCGUGACCAACCUGCCCCAUGCUCCAGAAUAGCUCUUGGAAACGGGUGGUAAUGCUGGAUGCUCCAACUUGACGCAUGUCUUGUUGGGAAAGUGUUUAGUGGCAUGGGAUGGGGUCGCGUCCUAUCAGCUUGUAGGCGGGGUAAUGGCCCACCUAGGCUUCGACGGGUAGCCGGCCUGAGAGGGCGGACGGCCACAUUGGGACUGAGAUACGGCCCAGACUCCUACGGGAGGCAGCAGCC